ACGAACGCUGGCGGCGUGCUUAACACCUGCAAGUCGAACGGAAAGGCCCCUUUGGGGGUCCUCGAGUGGCGAACGGGUGAGUAACACGUGAGUAACCUGCCCUUGACUUCGGGAUAACUUCAGGAAACUGGGGCUAAUACCGGAUAGGAAUCCUUGCUGCAUGGUGGGGGUUGGAAAGCUUCGGCGGUUUUGGAUGGACUCGCGGCUUAUCAGCUUGUUGGUGGGGUAGUGGCUUACCAAGGCUUUGACGGGUAGCCGGCCUGAGAGGGCGACCGGCCACAUUGGGACUGAGAUACGGCCCAGACUCCUACGGGAGGCAGCAGUGGGGAAUAUUGCACAAUGGGCGGAAGCCUGAUGCAGCAACGCCGCGGGCGGGAUGACGGCCUUCGGGUUGUAAACCGCUUUCAGCAGGGGCGAAGCUUGUGGUGACGGUACCUGCAGAAGAAGCACCGGCUAACUACGUG
rnacentral:rRNA from 1 species